rnacentral:lncRNA from 1 species
GGGACACCACAGCCACCCCUUCCCCACAUCUCCACCGCUGUAUGGCCGGUGGGGGGGGGGGGAUGAAGGCCCGACCCCCAGCGCUGCCCCCCCCCCCAUGGGGUUGUGGGGUUGGGGGGUUGUGGGGUUACCGGUGCCGGUGCUCCAGCAGCGCCUCGAAGUCGGGUGAGCAAACCAGUUUGUGCUUCACGUGGCCCAGCACCGUCAGCUCCCCAUUGCGGCCGUCCCCAAUACCGACCGACACCAAUUCCUGCAGGAAGGAGCAGGGCGUCCCCAUGGUCACAUCGAGCGUCACCCUGCCCAGCACCAGCUGCACCCUCCCGGAUCUGCGCACCACCAGUUUGCCCAGCUGCCCCUCGGGGAGGUCCGCCAGCGUGCAGCUGCAGUCCGCCUGCCUGGCCUCCUGCCCCUUCUCCUGCUUGACCAGCAGCAGCUGCCCGUCGUCGCUCUGCAGCUCUGCCCGGCCGGGUUUGCUGUCCUGCGACGGCGGUUGGCCGGGCAGUGUGUCGGGCAGCUGCAGGAACAGCAGCUCCUCGCCCGCCGCAACGCUCAGCCGCUGCAGCAGCUCCGCUGCCGUCACGUCCUGCGGGCAGCCGGGGGGGCUGCGGGCCGGGGGGGGGGUCCUCAUCACAGGGCUCUUCUUUCACCUUCACGGCAGGGGGGUCCACGUCCAUCUUCUCCUCCUUGGGGCCGUGGGGGCGGGGCUGGGGGUCCUCGGGCUCAGCCCCCUCCUCCUGGAAGAGCCACCCCGAGUGCGCCAGCGGCAGCUGCACGGGUUUAUUGCGGACGUCGUUCUUCAGCCCGGGGUCGUCCAGGAAGUCGUCCUUCUGCAGCAUGCGCAGGAUCUGCUUCGUCUCCUCGUCCGUCUCCCUCUUCUCCUUCUUGAUGUUAAUGAUGUGCGAAGGGCCGAAGUCCGACACCUCCACGGCUUUGUCCCACGAGCCGGCUUUCUUCCUCAUCAUCUCCGCGGGCCCCUGCUCGAAGAUGGAGUGGGACUGGAUGACGUCGGGCCGCCCCCGGCCCCGGCUGUGCCCGUCGCGCUGCCGCUCGCGCUCCUUCUUCUCCUUCUUGAUGCUGACAUCCUCCCUGGGCUCCUCUUUGAUCUUCCUGCUGAUGAUGUUGGGGGUGAAGGUUUUCU